rnacentral:rRNA from 1 species
ACUUUGUUGUUAGGGAAGAACAAGUUCCGUUAGAAUAGGGCGGUACCUUGACGGUACCUAACCAGAAAGCCACGGCUAACUACGUGCCAGCAGCCGCGGUAAUACGUAGGUGGCAAGCGUUGUCCGGAAUUAUUGGGCGUAAAGGGCUCGCAGGCGGCCUUUUAAGUCUGAUGUGAAAGCCCCCGGCUCAACCGGGGAGGGUCAUUGGAAACUGGGGAACUUGAGUGCAGAAGAGGAGAGUGGAAUUCCACGUGUAGCGGUGAAAUGCGUAGAGAUGUGGAGGAACACCAGUGGCGAAGGCGACUCUCUGGUCUGUAACUGACGCUGAGGCGCGAAAGCGUGGGGAGCGAACAGGAUUAGAUACCCC